rnacentral:rRNA from 1 species
AGCGAACGCUGGCGGCAGGCCUAACACAUGCAAGUCGGACGAAGUCUUCGGACUUAGUGGCGGACGGGUGAGUAACACGUGGGAACGUGCCUUGAGGUUCGGAAUAACUCAGGGAAAAUUGUGCUAAUACCGAAUGUGCCCUUCGGGGGAAAGAUUUAUCGCCUUUAGAGCGGCCCGGGUCUGAUUAGCUAGUUGGUUGAUGUAACGGCUCACCAAGGCGACGGUCAGUAGCUGGUCUGAGAGGAUGGCCAGCCACAUUGGGACUGAGACACGGCCCAAACUCCUACGGGAGGCAGCAGUGGGGAAUCUUGCGCAAUGGGCGAAAGCCUGACGCAGCCAUGCCGCGUGAAUGAUGAAGGUCUUAGGAUUGUAAAAUUCUUUCACCGGGGACGAUAAUGACGGUACCCGGAGAAGAAGCCCCGGCUAACUUCGUGCCAGCCGCCGCGGUAACAC